UCAGCAGCCGCGGUAAUACGUAGGGCGCAAGCGUUGUCCGGAAUUAUUGGGCGUAAAGAGCUCGUAGGCGGCUUGUCACGUCGGAUGUGAAAGCCCGAGGCUUAACCUCGGGUCUGCAUUCGAUACGGGCUAGCUAGAGUGUGGUAGGGGAGAUCGGAAUUCCUGGUGUAGCGGUGAAAUGCGCAGAUAUCAGGAGGAACACCGGUGGCGAAGGCGGAUCUCUGGGCCAUUACUGACGCUGAGGAGCGAAAGCGUGGGGAGCGAACAGGAUUAGAUACCCUGGUAGUCCACGCCGUAAACGUUGGGAACUAGGUGUUGGCGACAUUCCACGUCGUCGGUGCCGCAGCU
rnacentral:rRNA from 1 species